UAGACAAGAGUUGCGUGAGGUGACACCUGAUUGUUACUCAGGGAGGGCAAAUAAUUUUUUGCUUGUUUAG
rnacentral:tRNA from 1 species